UUACAAAAUGGAGUUACUUUUUGAUGGUUAACCAAGCUGGAGUUGAAGACUUUUUGGUAGUUAACUUGAACACUUGUUUUGAAAGAUUGGCCUCAUUAGCCUACCCACACUCAACGGGUUGGAUGUGAAAAACCGUCAAUUCGGAUAUCCAGGUCAACAUACCUACUUGUACCAGCAUAGACUUGCUGAGAUUGAGUUUGGUAUACUACAAUAGUGUUAAAAGGGCAUAGAAUAUGAAGAUGUGACUGAUUUUCUCGUUAGUUUUCCUGGUUUUUUAUUCUUGGCAACAAUAAUAGAACUCCUUAAAUUUCCUUUUUUCUGGAUGAGCGAGUGUUUCUUAUUGUAUAUCAUUGUUUGUCAAUUCAGGUAGCGAAGGAUAAAGGUAGUGAUUGCGGGGAGGAUUAAGAUGGUGAUUGCGGCGUUAUAUUUUUAAGCUUCAGUUACUUGUAAAUAUGGUUGAUAGAAUAUUUCCCUUUAUCUUAGUUGUAACUUAGUUGGAUUUGCAGGAUCUUGUAUUUAUAACUUCGAUUAAAGUAUUUGUAAAUGUUGAUUGGCAAUCGAAUUUUAUAUGUUUAAGAA